rnacentral:rRNA from 1 species
UACGGAGGGUGCGAGCGUUGUCCGGAAUCAUUGGGCGUAAAGGGCGCGUAGGUGGCGGCUUAAGCGUGCGGUGAAAGCUCGGGGCUCAACCCCGAGUCGGCCGUGCGAACUGAGUCGCUUGAGCACUGUAGAGGCAGGCGGAAUUCCGGGUGUAGCGGUGGAAUGCGUAGAGAUCCGGAAGAACACCGGUGGCGAAGGCGGCCUGCUGGGCAGUAGCUGACACUGAGGCGCGACAAGCGGUGGGGAGCAAACAGG